rnacentral:rRNA from 1 species
AAUCAACGCUGGCGGCGUGCCUAACACAUGCAAGUCGAGCGCGAAAGGGGGGCAACUCCCAAGUAGAGCGGCGAACGGGUGAGUAACGCGUGGGUGAUCUGCCUCCGAGUGGGGAACAACACCGGGAAACUGGUGCUGAUACCGCAUGACAUCCUCGAGUCACAUCGGGGAUCAAAGCCGGGGACCGCAAGGCCUGGCGCUUGGAGAGGAGCCCGCGUCCGAUUAGCAGUUGGCGGGGUAAUGGCCCACCAAGGCUUCGAUCGGUAGCCGGCCUGAGAGGGCGGACGGCCACACUGGGACUGAGACACGGCCCAGACUCCUACGGGAGGCAGCAGUGGGGAAUUUUUCGCAAUGGGCGCAAGCCUGACGAAGCAACGCCGCGUGGGGAUGAAGGUCUCGGAUCGUAAACCCCUGUCGACCGGGACGAAAGCAUCCGACCUAACACGUCGGCGUGUUGACUGUACCGGUGGA